rnacentral:rRNA from 1 species
UUAAGUUAGAAAGGGCGCACGGUGGAUGCCUUGGCACUAGGAGCCGAUGAAGGACGGGACGAACACCGAUAUGCUUCGGGGAGCUGUAAGCAAGCUUUGAUCCGGAGAUUUCCGAAUGGGGAAACCCACCACUCGUAAUGGAGUGGUAUCCAUAUCUGAAUACAUAGGAUAUGAGAAGGCAGACCCGGGGAACUGAAACAUCUAAGUACCCGGAGGAAGAGAAAGCAAAUGCGAUUCCCUGAGUAGCGGCGAGCGAAACGGGACCAGCCCAAACCAAGAGGCUUGCCUCUUGGGGUUGUAGGACACUCUGUACGGAGUUACAAAGGAACGAGGUAGAUGAAGAGGUCUGGAAAGGCCCGCCAUAGGAGGUAACAGCCCUGUAGUCAAAACUUCGUUCUCUCCUGAGUGGAUCCUGAGUACGGCGGAACACGUGAAAUUCCGUCGGAAUCCGGGAGGACCAUCUCCCAAGGCUAAAUACUCCCUAGUGACCGAUAGUGAACCAGUACCGUGAGGGAAAGGUGAAAAGCACCCCGGAAGGGAGUGAAAGAGAUCCUGAAACCGUGUGCCUACAAGUAGUCAGAGCCCGUUAACGGGUGAUGGCGUGCCUUUUGUAGAAUGAAACCGGCGAGUUACGAAUCCCGUGCAAGGUUAAGCAGAAGAUGCGGAGCCGCAGCGAAAGCGAGUCUGAAUAGGGCGAAUUGAGUACGUGGUCGUAGACCCGAAACCAGGUGAUCUACCCAUGUCCAGGUGAAGUUCAGGGUAACACUGAAUGGAGGCCCGAACCCACGCACGUUGAAAAGUGCGGGGAUGAGGUUGGGUAGGGGUGAAAUGCCAAUCGAACCUGGAGAUAAGCUGGGUUCUCUCCGAAAUAGCUUAGGGCUAGCCUCAAGUAAGAGUCUCGAGUAGAGCACUGAUGGACUAGGGGCCCCUACCGGGUUACCGAAUUCAGUCCAAACUCGAAUGCGAUGAUUAUCCUUGGGAGUCAGACUGCGAGUGAUAAGAUCCGUAGUCGAAAGGGAAACAGCCCAGACCGCCAGCUAAGUGUCCCAAAGUUACGUUAAGUGGAAAAGGAUGUGGAGUUGCUUAGACAACCAGGAUGUUGGCUUAGAAGCAGCCACCAUUUAAAGGAGUGCGUAAUAGCUCACUGGUCGAGUGACUCUGCGCCGAAAAUGUACCGGGGCUAAACGUAUCACCGAAGCUGGCGGACUGUUCUGUCGAACAGUGGUAGGAGAGCGUUCUAAGGGCUGUGAAGCAAGACCGGAAGGACUUGUGGAGCGCUUAGAAGUGAGAAUGCCGGUAUGAGUAGCGAAAGAGGGGUGAGAAUCCCCCUCCACCGAAUGCCUAAGGUUUCCUGAGGAAGGCUCGUCCGCUCAGGGUUAGUCGGGACCUAAGCCGAGGCCGAAAGGCGUAGGCGAUGGAUAACAGGUUGAUAUUCCUGUACCACCUCCUCACCAUUUGAGCAAUGGGGGGACGCAGGAGGAUAGGGUAAGCGCGGUAUUGGAUAUCCGCGUCCAAGCAGUUAGGCUGGGAAAUAGGCAAAUCCGUUUCCCGGGAAGGCUGAGCUGUGAUGGCGAGCGAAUUAUAGUAGCGAAGUUCCUGAUUCCACACUGCCAAGAAAAGCCUCUAGCGAGGUGAGAGGUGCCCGUACCGCAAACCGACACAGGUAGGCGAGGAGAGAAUCCUAAGGUGAUCGAGAGAACUCUCGUUAAGGAACUCGGCAAAAUGACCCCGUAACUUCGGGAGAAGGGGUGCUCUGUUAGGGUGCAAGCCCGAGAGAGCCGCAGUGAAUAGGCCCAGGCGACUGUUUAGCAAAAACACAGGUCUCUGCGAAGCCGUAAGGCGAAGUAUAGGGGCUGACGCCUGCCCGGUGCUGGAAGGUUAAGAGGAGCGCUUAGCGUAAGCGAAGGUGCGAAUUGAAGCCCCAGUAAACGGCGGCCGUAACUAUAACGGUCCUAAGGUAGCGAAAUUCCUUGUCGGGUAAGUUCCGACCCGCACGAAAGGCGCAACGAUCUGGGCACUGUCUCAACGAGAGACUCGGUGAAAUUAUAGUACCUGUGAAGAUGCAGGUUACCCGCGACAGGACGGAAAGACCCCGUGGAGCUUUACUGCAGCCUGAUAUUGAAUGUUGGUACAGCUUGUACAGGAUAGGUAGGAGCCUUGGAAACCGGAGCGCCAGCUUCGGUGGAGGCAUCGGUGGGAUACUACCCUGGCUGUAUUGACCUUCUAACCCGCCGCCCUUAUCGGGCGGGGAGACAGUGUCAGGUGGGCAGUUUGACUGGGGCGGUCGCCUCCUAAAAGGUAACGGAGGCGCCCAAAGGUUCCCUCAGAAUGGUUGGAAAUCAUUCGCAGAGUGUAAAGGCACAAGGGAGCUUGACUGCGAGACCUACAAGUCGAGCAGGGACGAAAGUCGGGCUUAGUGAUCCGGUGGUUCCGCAUGGAAGGGCCAUCGCUCAACGGAUAAAAGCUACCCCGGGGAUAACAGGCUUAUCUCCCCCAAGAGUCCACAUCGACGGGGAGGUUUGGCACCUCGAUGUCGGCUCAUCGCAUCCUGGGGCUGUAGUCGGUCCCAAGGGUUGGGCUGUUCGCCCAUUAAAGCGGUACGCGAGCUGGGUUCAGAACGUCGUGAGACAGUUCGGUCCCUAUCCGUCGCGGGCGCAGGAAAUUUGAGAGGAGCUGUCCUUAGUACGAGAGGACCGGGAUGGACGCACCGCUGGUGUACCAGUUGUUCUGCCAAGGGCAUCGCUGGGUAGCUAUGUGCGGACGGGAUAAGUGCUGAAAGCAUCUAAGCAUGAAGCCCCCCUCAAGAUGAGAUUUCCCAUUCCGCAAGGAAGUAAGAUCCCUGAAAGAUGAUCAGGUUGAUAGGUCUGAGGUGGAAGUGUGGCGACACAUGGAGCUGACAGAUACUAAUCGAUCGAGGACUUAACCAA